rnacentral:lncRNA from 1 species
AUGAUGGCACGUCGGGACCCCAAAUCUUGGGCCAAGAGACUGGUGAGAGCCCAGACCCUCCAGAAGCAGCGGAGGGCCCCAGUUGGGCCAAGGUCUCCCCCGCCCGAUGAAGAAGAUCCCAGGCUCAAGUGCAAAAACUGCGGGGCCUUUGGCCACACGGCCAGAAGUACCAGGUGCCCCAUGAAGUGCUGGAAGGCAGCCCUGGUUCCAGCGACCUGGGGAAAAAAGGAAGGGAAGGAAAACCUGAAACCAUGGAAGCCCCGGGCUGAAGCCAACCCGGGGGCCCUGAAACAAGGAUAAGGGAGAGAAGGAAGAGAGACCAAGGCAACAAGACCCGCAGAGGAAGGCUCUCCUCCACAUGUUUUCCGGGAAACCUCCAGAGAAGCCGCUGCCGAAUGGAAAAGGAUCCACGGAAUCUUCUGAGCAUCUGAGGGUUGCAAGCGGGCCAAUGCCGGUCCACACAACCAGUAAGAGGCCGCGCGUGGACCCUGUCCUCGCUGAUCGCUCAGCUACCGAAAUGUCUGGCAGGGGCUCCGUCUUGGCUUCACUGUCUCCCCUCAGAAAAGCCAGCCUGAGCUCCUCCUCAAGUCUUGGACCAAAGGAAAGACAGACAGGGGCUGCGGCCGACAUCCCUCAGCCUGCAUUCAGGCACCAGGGCCCCGAGCCUCUCCUCGUGGUGAAGCCGACACACAGCAGCCCUGAGGGUGGCUGCCGAGAAGUUCCCCAGGCUGCCUCCAAAACCCACGGCCUGCUCCAGGCCGUCAGACCCCAGGCACAAGACAAACGUCCUGCGGUGACCUCACAGCCCUGCCCGCCAGCCGCCACACACAGCUUGGGCCUAGGCUCCAAUCUCAGCUUCGGGCCAGGAGCCAAGAGACCUGCCCAGGCUCCGAUUCAGGCUUGCCUGAACUUCCCCAAGAAACCGAGACUGGGUCCCUUCCAGAUCCCCGAAAGCGCCAUCCAGGGAGGUGAGCUGCGGGCCCCGGAGAAUCUCCAACCUCCGCCAGCCGCAACCGAACUUGGACCAAGUACGUCGCCCCAGAUGGGCAGGAGGACACCGGCCCAGGUGCCCAGCGUCGACCGGCAGCCUCCGCACAGCACACCUUGCCUGCCUACUGCCCAGGCCUGCACCAUGUCCCAUCACCCAGCGGCCGGCCAUGAUGGGGCCCAGCCUCUCAGAGUGCUCUUCCGGAGACUGGAAAACGGACGCUGGAGCUCCAGCCUCCUGGCCGCCCCCUCAUUUCACUCUCCUGAGAAGCCGGGAGCCUUCCUCGCUCAGAGCCCUCAUGUGUCAGAGAAGUCUGAGGCUCCCUGUGUUCGUGUCCCACCGAGCGUCCUCUAUGAGGACCUUCAGGUUUCCUCCUCCUCAGAGGACAGCGAUUCUGACCUGGAGUGA